UGGGGAAUAUUGGACAAUGGGCGCAAGCCUGAUCCAGCCAUGCCGCGUGAGUGAUGAAGGCCCUAGGGUUGUAAAGCUCUUUCACCGGUGAAGAUAAUGACGGUAACCGGAGAAGAAGCCCCGGCUAACUUCGUGCCAGCAGCCGCGGUAAUACGAAGGGGGCUAGCGUUGUUCGGAUUUACUGGGCGUAUAGCGCACGUAGGCGGACUUUUAAGUCAGGGGUGAAAUCCCGGGGCUCAACCCCGGAACUGCCUUUGAUACUGGAAGUCUUGAGUAUGGUAGAGGUGAGUGGAAUUCCGAGUGUAGAGGUGAAAUUCGUAGAUAUUCGGAGGAACACCAGUGGCGAAGGCGGCUCACUGGACCAUUACUGACGCUGAGGUGCGAAAGCGUGGGGAGCAAACAGG
rnacentral:rRNA from 2 species